rnacentral:tRNA from 1 species
GGGAUAUAGCUCAAUAGUAGAGUACAUGCCUAGCAUGCAUGAGGCCCUGGGUUCAGUUCCUAGCAUUGCCA